rnacentral:misc_RNA from 1 species
GAGAGUAGGUUAUUGCCAGGGUUUUUAUUUUAUACUUUAAACAUUGAUUUUAUUUUUUAUGUUUUUAGAUGUUCAUGUUUUUGAAUGUUUUAUUCGAAUAAUAUAAAAAAUAAAAUAUAUAUUGACAUGGAUUAAACAAAGAUAUAUAUUAUUCUAUGUUGUAUAAACAAAUUGGCAAAAUAGAGAUGGAAGAUAAAAAUA